AUUGAACGCUGGCGGCAGGCCUAACACAUGCAAGUCGAGCGAGCGGCGGACGGGUGAGUAAUGUAUGGGGACUGCCCGAUAUAGGGGGAUAACUAAUGGAACCGGUAGCUAAUACCGCAUACUAUCGGAUAACCCAUAUGGGAUUAGCUAGUAUGUGAGGUAAUGGCUCACCUAGGCGACGAUCCCUAGCUGAUCUGAGAGGAUGAUCAGCCACACUGGGACUGAGACACGGCCCAGACGCCUACGGAGGCAGCAGUGGGGACUAGUGCACAAUGGGCGCAAUCCUGAUGCAGCCAUGCCGCGUGUAUGAAGAAGGCCCUCGGGUUGUAAAGUACUUUCAGUCGGGAGGCGUUACCGAGAGAAGAAGCACCGGCUAACUCCGUGCCAGCAGACGCGGUAAUAC
rnacentral:rRNA from 1 species